CUUUUUUUUUUCUUCUUUUUUUAAUAGGAGAGAAAAAAAGAAAAGAAAAAAAAG
rnacentral:ribozyme from 14 species